rnacentral:rRNA from 1 species
CCUACGGGUGGCUGCAGUGGGGAAUAUUGGACAAUGGGGGCAACCCUGAUCCAGCCAUGCCGCGUGUGUGAAGAAGGCCCUCGGGUUGUAAAGCACUUUCAGUGAGGAAGAACGCCUGGUGGUUAAUACCCAUCAGGAAAGACAUCACUCACAGAAGAAGCACCGGCUAACUCCGUGCCAGCAGCCGCGGUAAUACGGAGGGUGCGAGCGUUAAUCGGAAUUACUGGGCGUAAAGCGCGCGUAGGUGGCUUGAUAAGCCGGUUGUGAAAGCCCCGGGCUCAACCUGGGAACGGCAUCCGGAACUGUCAAGCUAGAGUGCAGGAGAGGAAGGUAGAAUUCCCGGUGUAGCGGUGAAAUGCGUAGAGAUCGGGAGGAAUACCAGUGGCGAAGGCGGCCUUCUGGACUGAUACUGACACUGAGGUGCGAAAGCGUGGGUAGCAAACAGGAUUAGAUACCCGUGUAGUC